rnacentral:lncRNA from 1 species
CUCCCAGGCCCCCCUUCCUGCCUUGGCCUCGCUCCUGCUCCCAGAGACGCCCUUCGCUAGCUUGAGCCAAAGGCAAUAGAGCUGUUUAUCUUGGUUCCUUCUUUUCUGUGAGGGAAUUUCCCAGCAAAGCACCUCUUUAUUUCCUUGUGGAGAUAAAGGUAUUCUGUUUCUCCAGUUCUUCGGAAGAGUUGGGGGAGCGGGUUUGGGGAGGUAGAGACAAAUAUGGGUGUUGGGUGGCAGCUUGAGCCUCUCUUGAUUCCGGUUAAUUGCCCUGGACUUUUCAUACCAGGCCAAUGAUUAACCUCUGGAGUGUGGCCUUAGCCAAAUGCCAGCGUCAGCUCCAGCUCAGAUGUGCUCAGGACGAAGCUGGCUGCAGGACCACCCAGGUGGACGUGGGACUGACUCCCAGAGUGAGAGAACAGACGUCUGUUUGCUGAGCAUCCUUCGAAGACUGGGGGCGAGCUGUUCAGAUUGGACUGUCACGGCCGGAAGGAGCAGACAUGUGCCAGGGACUAGGUUACAAGAAAGGUGGUUCCUGUGAAAAGACUCUGUUUGAACUCAGAGAUCCCGUGCUUCAGAGCCUCAUUUUCCCCAAUACCCCUGCAGCUUUCUGCGCUCACCUGCCCCACGUAACUGGGGCUUCAGUGGACAUUGGUAAGAUGCCGACCCCAGGGCUCCAUACAGGACAAGCAAGGAGCAGGCCCCCUUGUCUGGCAUCCCCAAACCCUUGGGGGUCUCUCCAUCAAUGUCAGUCUCCUCUCCAGCGGCAGCCCUGGACUAAGCCCCGCGGUGACGGGGGGAUGACAGGCCCAGAGACGCAUCGAUAGCUGAGCCAUCUUUCUUCCCCGCUCAGCUGUCAUUCUCCUUCCCUAGCCCCAGGGUCAGUAUGAAGUGGGAGAGUGUGAGGGGAGGUGGAGAUGGUUUGGGGACGAUGAGGGGAAAAUUCUAGUUCUGCCAGGUUAUACGGCUCCUUUCAAAGGUUUUUCCUUAUUUCUCUCUUCUUUGGAAUUCGAUCGUCAAGCUAUUGGUAGGUUUUGUUCUCUUAUUCUCAUUUACCCACUUCCCCCAAAGCAGGGCUACCUUGUGUCUAGUUGUCUGGAGUCCGACUUAAGGGGGACCCGCUCAGCCCUAGGACACAACCUUGAUGAGUUUCGGGCCUGUGGGGAGGGAGAGAAGCACGUCCAGGAAACUGCUGCUUCUCACGCUGCCUGAGGGGCCCAGGGCUCCUCUCCUAGCCCUACAGUCUGUGAUGACGGGACAUUUCUUGGAUCAUGUCUUGGUGUGUUCCCAGGAGUCCCAAAACCAUCUUAGCUGAUGGUGCCCAUGCCCCCACACGUACCCCAAGUCCACGUUGCCUACUGACCCAGCUUAGGGAAAGAAGCAAAUGAGAAGCAGAACCAGGGAAGAGUUAUGAAGUCAGAACCCUGCGUCCUAUUUUGGGCUCAGCCACAUGCUAGCGGUGUGACUGGAGUCCCCCAGCUUCCUAUCUUUCGCUGCUGUUUCCCCACCAGGAACCUACUGGCUCCAAGACAUAGGCCGUUCCUCCCAGUCCUGAGUGAGGAGAGUGGCCGCCCGACUCAAGACUGAUGACGAUAAAAGCAGGAGUUACACCUGCAAGAUGGACAGCGCUUCAUCUGUUUAAGAGCUCCCCCUCCCUCUUAAAAUAAUAAUCAGAGAGGAAAAUAAUAAUGAGAAAGUCUCCUCGUUUGCCCUUCAUGACCCUGGGACUUGGCACGAAUCAGUUGGGGAGCCCUGGCCUGGGGUCAGCAAGCCUGUACCCGGCUCUAACUUACUGAGCGACCUUUGCCAAAUCACUUUCCCCUUCAG